GAGCGCAGCGAGUCAGUGAGCGAGGAAGCGGCCGCAUAACUUCGUAUAGCAUACAUUAUACGAAGUUAUCAGUCGACGGUACCGGACAUAUGCCCGGGAAUUCGGCCAUUACGGCCGGGGAAUAAGCAUCGGCUAAAUAUGUGCCAGCAGCCGCGGUAAGACAUAUGAUGCAAGCGUUAUCCGGAAUGAUUGGGCGUAAAGCGUCUGUAGGUUGUUUAAAAAGUCAACUGUCAAAAACUAAAGCUCAACUUUAGGCAGGCAGUUGAAACUUUUAGACUAGAGUAUGGCAGAGGUAGAGGGAAUUACUGGUGUAACGGUGAAAUGUGCAGAUAUCAGUAAGAACACCAAUGGCGAAAGCACUCUACUGGACCAAAACUGACACUCAGAGACGAAAGCUAGGGGAGCGAAUAGGAUUAGAUACCCUAGUAGUCCUAGCUGUAAACGAUGGAAACUAAAUAUUGCGUUUUUAAAAUGCAGUAUUGUAGCUAACGCGUUAAGUUUCCCGCCUGGGGAGUAUGCUCGCAAGAGUGAAACUCAAAGAAAUUGACGGGGGCCCGCACAAGCGGUGGAGCAUGUGGUUUAAUUCGAUGCAACGCGAAGAACCUUACCGGGGUCUGACAUACUAUGCAUUUUUUGGAGACGAAAAAGUUUAAACAUAGAUACAGGUGGUGCAUGGCUGUCGUCAGCUCGUGUCGUGAGACGUAGGGUUAAGUCCUGUAACGAGCGCAACCCUUAUUGUUAGUUGCUUUUAGGAAACUAGCAAGACUGCCAGUGAUAAGCUGGAGGAAGGUGAGGAUGACGUCAAGUCAGCAUGCCCCUUAAAUCCCGGGCUACACACGUGCUACAAUGGUUA
rnacentral:rRNA from 1 species